AGUCGAACGCAGUAGCAAUACUGAGUGGCAGACGGGUGAGUAUAAUGUGGGAAUCUGCCUUUUGGUUUGGAAUAACUCGGGGAAACUUGAGCUAAUACCAAAUAAGCCCUUACGGGGAAAGCUUUAUGCGCCGAAGGAUGAGCCCGCACUUGAUUAGCUCGUUGGUGAGGUAAUGGCUCACCAAGGCAACAAUCAAUAGCUGUUCUUAGAGGAAGACCAGCCACAUUGGGACUGAGACACGGCCCAGACUCCUACGGGAGGCAGCAGUAAGGAAUCUUGCACAAUGGGGGAAACCCUGAUGCAGCGAUGCCGCGUGAGUGAAGAAGGCCUUUGGGUUGUAAAACUCUUUCGUUGGGGAAGAAAAUGACUGUACCCAAAUAAGAAGGUCCGGCUAACUUCGUGCCAGCAGCCGCGGUAAUACGAAGGGACCUAGCGUAGUUCGGAAUUACUGGGCUUAAAGAGCUCGUAGGUGGUUAAAAAAGUUGAUGGUGAAAUCCCAAGGCUCAACCUUGGAACUGCCAUCAAAACUGUUUAGCUAGAGUAUGAUAGAGGAAAGUGGAAUUUCUAGUGUAGAGGUGAAAUUCGUAGAUAUUAGAAAGAACACCAAAAGCGAAGGCAACUUUCUGGAUCAUUACUGACACUGAGGAGCGAAAGCAUGGGUAGCGAAGAGGAUUAGAUACCCUCGUAGUCCAUGCUGUAAACGAUGUGUGCUAGACGUUGGAAAUUUAAUUUUCAGUGUCGCAGCAAAAGCGUUAAGCACACCGCCUGGGGAGUACGACCGCAAGGUUAAAACUCAAAUGAAUUGACGGGGACCCGCACAAGCAGUGGAGCAUGUGGUUUAAUUCGAAGAUACGCGCAGAACCUUACCAACACUUGACAUGUUCGUCGCGAGACCAAGAGAUUGGUUUCUUCAUUUAGUU
rnacentral:rRNA from 1 species